AUUUCUGCUAGAGGCUGAGUCAACCCCAGGGCCAUAGUUUGCCUGGAAGGAUUAGGUCAGUUGAUGUAUCCACUGACCUUGUUGGGAAUCGGACCCAUGACCUUCUGGCUUGUAGUAUUGUGCUUCAACCAACUACACUAUCCUGUGCCCAAGUGAACAUGGAGACUAAAACAAUAGUGUGGAUGGAACAAAUGCAGCAACUCCACUGGCAGUCCCUGGGUCUUGGUUUCACCGAGGUACUGUCAGCAUCAUUAAAUUUAAUAUUUUUUUCUUAACUGGUAAUUAUAACUUAUUGGUAUGCCACUAUACAUUGCACAAAUAAUAAGUAUUGGUUUCUUUUAUGUGAUUUUUAAUGAUUUUUUCCCAUUAUUUGAACAGUCUGAUUUAGCUUUGGCUUAUAUCCUUAUGACCAAGGCUUUCUUUUCUGGUGGAGUGGAGUGAUGCAUUGUAUUGGUACAUCUUUGUAGAAUAAAAAGAAUAAUGUUUUACAAAACCCAUGAAUGGUAUGCGAAAGUUUUAUUAUAUCAGUUUUUUAAAAAAUAAUGUAUUAAGUUUAAUUAAAUUUUCAAAAAAUGUUAUGCCACCCCCUCCCCUCAGUUUGUCAUGUCUGAAUACUGGGAUUUUUCUUUAUAUAUGUGGGGAAAUCAUAAAAUUUUAAUUAUCACCCAGAAGAAACACACACAGGUGCAAGAAAUUGAGAGUUAGUCCUCUACAUAUGCCCCCUGCAAGGUCACACUUUCCCCACGUCGCUUUUUCUUCAUUUCCUCCAGUAAUUUUCUCAGAAGGUUCCGGUAGUACUCGCCUAUGAUAGUGACGCCCUUUUGCACAUAGUCAGUCAUGAUGACACCCCAUCGAUCCCAGAACACACUCAACAUCGCCUUUCCUGAUGAUGACUGGGAUUUGGCCUUCUUUGGUGGCAGAGAGUCUGCAUGUUACCAUUGCUUGCACAUUUCGUUUGUUUCAGUGUCAUAAUGAUAGACCCAACAUUCAUCCAUCAUGAUCAGGUGGUCAUGGAUGAUGUUGAAAACCAACCCAUUGCUAAUGUGGACCUCACGAACAAUAGCUUCGAUAGUUAUGCGCCUAUCGGAUAGGAUCAAAGCUUCCACCUGUGCCACAGUUACCGGUUCCUCAGCGAGAGAUUGUCUUCCACUUUGGGGUCCAUCUUCGAGGUUUGUCUGUCCACAAUGAAAGUGCCUCUUCCAACUGACCACUGUACACCUUCCUGAUACACAGCAGUCAUCUGGUCAUGAAUCUCCCUGGCAGACUUCCCUUGCAAAUGCAGGAACUGUAUCACAGCAUGAGCCUCCACUUUCUCAUCCGAUGUCAUUUUUAUUCUGCCCCUUUCGGUGGCUCCCUCUCUCCACUUGACACAGGAAACUUUGACUGUUCGGCAAGCUCAGGAAACGAUAUUUUGGAAUUAUGAUUUUCUCAUGGUGAUAAUUAAAACAUUAUGACUUCCCAUCGUCAAAUAUUUACACAUGCAAGGCCAGAUAAAAUUGAAAAUAUCUAAUCAGGUAAUGCUGUGACUACCAGUUUCUUUUCAUGUUUUGUUAUAGAAUUUAAUAUUAACUUUCCAAGACAAGUUUUUGAUGAGCUUCCUCAGUUCCUCCAGAUAAAAGUAUUGGAUGGUAUCUCAAUUAGGCCACAGGUGCUUUCUCAGAAUCCUUUCCAGUUCAUCAGUCUUCCUACCAUUUGGCACCAUAUAGGCUAGAUACUGACAGUGUUGUAAAAUAAACCACAAAAAAACUGUGCAUGCAACUGAGAAUUCAUCAUUUUCAUUUUAUUACCCUAGAAUUCUAGAUUCAAAUUAAGGUGCUUUGUUAUACGGUUCAUUAGGGAAUUGUACAACGUGUACCCCAACAUUCAUACAUUUAACAGUAAAUAAGGUGAUCAAAUUAAUUUUAGUGUAAUUUUAUUGCAACCAACACAAAUUAUGGACAUGUUGGUGUCAGUACAAUGAAAAAUCGUGUAAUUGACAUUCAUUAUACAGUAAGUUUGUCACAGAGGCAUUUUCCAGUCAGGCUCAUUUCAUGAGUUCCUAAGUAUAACAAAAUCUUGAACAGAAUCACCUUUCCAAAUAACAGCUGUGACUUAGAAUUAGGCAAUUUGUGCAACAUUUUCAUAAAAGACACUUUACUACAUUAGGUUACAAAAGUUAUUGAUUGUUGGAUUUCUUUCAAUCAUGUAAAUCUGGGCAGCUGAUUAAUAAGAGUGUACUUGAAAUGAAAUAGUUGAUGUCUUAAACAUCCCAGAAGUUAUGGCUGUAGAACCAUGAAAAUGGUUAGUGAUAGUAUGGCUGAUUAAUUAAUAUUUUCUGUGAUUACAAAACAACAGGAAACCAGAUUGCUAUAACCAGAUAUGGCUUUUCAGUGUUGUUAUCCAACAAGUUUAAAAUAAAUUUCUUCCAAUGUCAGUAGUUCUUUUUACCUCAACCAUUUCUCCAUGUAAGAAGGUACUGAUUCUUUUUGUUGCUUGUUUCUUAAAUUCAGAAUUCCAUAAGUUUUGUAAAAAUGUAUGGAGAAGAGAUGAAAGUCAUUGUGAGGAGAAAUAGGUUAUGAUUACUGCCAGAUCAUGCAACAUACAUGGGACAAAAAUGUAACUCUGUAGUAAAAGCAAGUUUAGCAUUUUAUUUUGUUAUUACAGAAUUGCUCUUUUAUAUGGUUUCAGUAGAUCUGUGAGUGAUAACGUAAAUUUGGAUGUAUCUUACACAGUUUUCAGUGCCUGAGACUGUAUCUGUCAUGUUUCCUAAAGAACUGACACUCAUUAAGAAUGAAAUAAGUAGGAAAUUCAGGUCCGAUUUAUCUUCUGUUCACUGUGCUGAAGGUACUGCUUUCCAAAUAUUAAACUACAGUUUCUUGAUUUGCAUUUUUAUGAUAAAGUUGCUGUUGCCAUGCAUAUGUAAAGAUGUAAAGUUCAUUUUUUUAAGUCAGGCUCUAACAACAUAUGAAUCAAAGUCUGUACAAAUGUAUAACAGGCAUAUUUUGAGCCUACUAUUAUACGGAAAAGUCAUAUCACAUUAAUUAUGGUAAUGAAAAGUCUGUACAAGUCACCUAUAUUUUGCACCUCUGAGUGGGGUAAUGUUUGUAGAUAUUCUCUGGUUUUACAAUACAGUUUGUUUAUGGCAUAUAUAGGUAUAGGUAUAUAACUAAAUAUAUUGUGGUAUUGUGAUUAGUACUCCUGCUUCUUGUUUGAGAUGUCUUGGAUUCAAUUCGUGUCUGAGGACUUUUGAGGAUUUCCUCAGCCACUUAAAAUUAAUUCUGGGAUAUCAUCUUGUUUGAGAAUACAUCAGUAUGUAGUGUAUUAUAUCAUGUGCAUAGUUUAUCCUUCAGGGUGAAAUGUGCCUGGCAAUGGUAUGCUUGUCAUAUUAGUUGGCUUUGCUGUGGUAGCACUUCGUAUUGUACUGUCAGUGUAUUCUAACAUAAUGAGUCACUGUUGCUUGUAUUUUUUAGUUUCUUUUCAUAAGAAUAACUAGUAGACUUAUGAGAUUGCAGUGCUAUGUGUCCGUGUUUGUGUCUGUUGAUUUGUGUGUCUUCUUUUCACCUUUUGAAUUAAGUAACCGAUUUCACAUAACUUGAUACGAAUGUUAUGCCAGUGGAGGUCAACCCAGCAUCACAUUUUAAUUUCCUGCAGUCAGCUGUAAGAAUAUGAAUGCAUGUACCUGUUUUGUUAAGGUGUAUUCCUUAAGUGUGGAAAACACAAUGACAGUCAUGAAAACAUUUUCAUUAACUUUCAUUUUGAUGGCGUUAACUAUUGAAUCAUUUGAAAUGGGCAUGUGAAAUUGGUAUUAAGAUGCAAUUCAAACAUGGUGAUUGUGUGAACCUUUGAAAUUGUAUGAGAAAAAAAUUGAUAUAAACAGAAUCUGAAGCAUAAUUUAAUCGCACAUAUUGUAUAAAAUGAUGAUGAUGAUGGUAAUGGUAAUUAAUAGUAGGAGAUUUGGAGGACUAGACUAGACGUCUUUGUAAUGUGAAAGUGGGCUAUAUGAGUUCUCCUCAAGACUCAUUUAUCUUUUAAUUUAUGGUACAACAAAAAUUGUUUCCAAUAUUGCAACAAAUAUUACAGUUGCACACAUACUAGAAUAUUUAUGCAGCAUUUACCAUGUUUUUGAAUGUAAAUGUCUACCCCAAUCUGGAAUAAGACUGAAUGGUUUAUAGCUGAUAAGCAUUAGAGCUGAGUUGCUGUAAAUCUAAUUAUAAAUGUUAAUAUUAGGUAAUGUUUUUAUUUAUGCAAAUAAUAUUGACAUAUAACUUCAACUAAAUUGUGUAUUUGGAAGUAGGGGACAUCAGAUUUGUUACUCUAACCAUUUCUUCUAGAAUCAAGGUUUUUUUUAAAAAUUGAAUGACAGGAACGUGAUCUGGGUGAUAGGAGUUUGAUACUUGACAGGGGAAGAGGUUAUAUUAUUUUUGCUACCCUGUCCAGACUGGAUUUGAGGUUCAUGCAGCCUCCAACCAAACAGGUACCUGCAUAUGGUUCUCUGGGAUAGAACAGCCUGGUUAUAAAGCUGAUCCCUCAGCUGCAUAUGCAGAGGUUAAGAAUGUAUGCAGCACACCUCCAGUCCUCUAUUGUGUUCUUAAUUGAGAAGGAGAGCUUAACUUUACUUUUAACCAGUUCUUCAACAAAAGUAUUCUUAUAAGAUUGGAAAAAUACUUUAUAGUGGUUCAUUCAACUGCAAAAGCAGCAGCUCAUGAUCACUUGAAAACAGUAUUUUAUUUUCUAAAAAAUAAUGCCUCAUCUGCCAUUUCAUUAGUUUGUACUGCCACAUCUGUGAUUAAAAUGAUGUUACAUUCAUAAAUUCAUUAUGGUAGGGUGUCUUCUACCUUAUAUGUGAACAUGCAUGUGAGACUAACACUUUGUAGAGCCCAUAUGCAUAAGUUUAAACCUGUACAAGAGAUAAUGCAUACUCAUAAGAGUGUUUGAAAAACAAAAUGCUUCCAAGUUAUAAACUAAUGAGGUCUGAAACAUUGUUACACAGUGAACAAUAUUACAAACAUGUAGUAAACAAAUAACAAUUUUAUUCCCAUUGAUUUUCAAGAAAUUUAUAUACUAAUGCAACCAUGGAAUUUCUUAGAAAAUAAACCAGCAUAGUUAGAACAGUUAAAUUUGUAGACAUGUGAGUAUUACAGUGAACCAGCCAGCAGUAAUAGCCAUACAGGGUAAACAGAAGACAGAUGAGAGAAAUGGAAAGCUAUGUGCAUAACAGGGAAGAAAUUAACUCGUUCAUUGGAAGGUCUAAGACAAA